rnacentral:SRP_RNA from 1 species
UCCUGACACAUGUGGAUGAUGCACCCCUUUCAAGCUGGUGGUCUGCAAGGUCACAGCAACGCAAGUUGCAGUGGCCUGGCAGGUAAAGAUCUGGGAAUUGGCCCAGGCUGGCGACAGAGCAAGCAAAACCAGACGCCACCAGGAGUGAUGGGAUCGUGUGUCU